GGGCAACUGGGCAAAGUGACACCUUGUUGGUGAUGUUGAUCUUAUACCUGCCAGGGACAAAGCAGAUCAACCUAGCUUGAUGCCUGACUUGGUGACCAAAGCUGUUCUAUACCUAGGACAGAUGA
rnacentral:snoRNA from 1 species